UUUGAAAAAGAUGACCGGCAGGCCUUAUAAAGAUGAUUGGAGGGCCGCAUUUGCCCCGCGGGCGGCUAGUUGACCAUCCCUGGUCUACUAUCAUCUAAAUGUUUUGAGAUGCAAGGCCCUUUUAAAAAACACCUUUGCAAGCCAGGGAAAAAGAGUUGUAUGAGGUAUACGACACAAACUGCACCCACAAAUCACAGCUGCUUCGAACUCCUACUUACAGUAGAUAAUAGACAGUAUACAGUAUGUUAACCAGUCAGAGGAAUUAAAGUAUAUGAUUACCAUACAGUGUUGUUAUGUGAGUGGGCGCUCGGGGCAGCUGUGAUUUGUGGGUGUAGAUUGUGUUUAGUGUGGUUAGGUGAGGGUGGUCAGGCGGCGGAUCACCCGGUCUGCUGGAGAACUUUAGUUACUCUGUGGUCAGAACAGAAAUGCAUUUGCUUAUCUUGCUGGGUGAAUAAUGUGUGAAUGUAAAUGCAUGUGGUCAGGGCCUGGUUUCAAUUGUCCAGAUUAAUCGAUGAGCACGGAUAAAGUGCAGUAAACCUGCGGGGUCAGAAAUUCAUUUUAUUAGUGCCGGAAAGCAGUGUACAUUAGUAAUUCAUUUAUCCAUUUGUUGAUGUUUAUUUUGCAGCUGUGGCUUUGAAGGAACAGUAGUUCUGUUUUCAUUCUUCACCCAUAUGUCAUUUUAAAGCUAGUAUGACUUUCUUUCUUUCUGAGUGUUGUUCAAGUGUGAUGGACGAGUCUAAGCUGAGUGGUUUGACUGAAAGCUGUCUAUUGUUAUGCUGUCUGGAGCCUCUCGUCAUCAUUCUUCAUGAACAACAGCAGAAAUGCUGCUAAGUUCCUGCUGUAUCACUUAACCAAGUACUCCACGAGAUUUCUCCAUAUUGCUUUUUAUGUGCCCAAGAAUAAUGAAAUUCAUCUGCUUCCA